rfam:Stegodyphus mimosarum contig113543, whole genome shotgun sequence.
GCCUUCGUGGUGUAGUGGUCAGCACACUCGGCGCGUAUUUGAGAGGUCCGUAGUUCGAGUCCCGGCAAGGGCA